rnacentral:lncRNA from 1 species
AGUAGUGCAUGAUCACACUGCAUUGAUCUCACCUAAAGUCUCUUUUUUUCUUUUUUCUUUUUGACGUGACACCUAAAGUCUUUUAGAUCCAUAUUAUUUCUAGCUGCUAAUCAAUAUGAUCAAGCCUUGGUAGCACAAGCAAGAGGCGGUGGCACUCGAGCAAUCGUGGGUUGCACGUUUGCACAAUGAGAUGUAAGAGUUCCUUUGCCACUUAACUUGAGAUCUAUGUCACUCAGUACCACUUGAUCACAAUGCAAGCCUUUAGCGCAUACAAUCUUCAAAGCCUCCGCAGUUGAAGUUGUCCCUAUAAUGUUCUUGAAGCUCACAUUGCUGAUCUUGACUUUUGAUGGAAUCUUCGAGCAAGAAACAUCACUAAUUAGAUUUGUGUAUAAUUAAUAAGAUCAUGGAUAAUGGAAUUUAAUUAAGAAACCUGAUAGACUACAUAUAUCAUGAGAUACAUCGGUAACCAAGACGCGAAAAACAAGUAUUAUGUAGGUUAGUAAUUAAGAUGCAUGGAUAAUUACCUGUUUAUUACACUGACCCCAUGGGCAGUAUUCUUGGUCAAUGAGGACUGGGUUAGCAACAUUAUUCAUUGUGAUUUUCUCGAAGUGAAUAUCCGAGGCGGUGGUAGCUUUAGGAGAAGCAGGAAAUGUCUUGAUUCUAACACCAUUCAGUGUAUUACUAAGGGUACAAUCUCUAAUAUUGAGUCCACUGACGUCAUCUUCAUUGUCGUACCUUCCGAGACUUCCGAUACUUAUUCCAUGACCUGGUCCACAACUUACCUUACUUACAGUUAGUUGUCUGGUACCAUCACCAACUGAUAUGCAAUCGUCUCCGGUUCCGAUGUUCAUGUCCGUAAUGUUAAUCCCGGUUGAGCGCCCCAUAUGUAUUCCAUCUGUGUUAGGGCUAUCUCCCGGUGCUUUGAUGGUGACAUGUUGGAAUGUAAGAUGUUCACACCCUAAAAUAUUGAAGUGGAAAUUUUUGCUGUUAAGUGAUGUCACAUCCCUUACUAAUGAAUUUUUCACUUUGUCGAAUCUCACAUUCUGCACAUAAUGAGAAAGCAGCACGACAUAUAUAUAUAUAUGUCAAUAUAUCUUGAAAAUGUAAAUCAGGGUUACCUGAAACAAAUUAGCACGAAAUGCAAUUCAUCAAAAAAAAAAUAAAUAAAUAAAACAGAGAAGAGGGCUAUAUUAGCUUACAAUGGCUAGACCUCCACAGUUUGGAUUUUUAUUGCAGUCGUUGUCUUUCCAAGAAUUUUGUCCUUGACCAUCAAAUGUUCCAGUACCUGAUACAGUGAGCCUCUCAACCUCUAAAAACUGGACCCAAAAUUCUUUAUUUGCUAAUUGGGCUUCAAUUGGUGGCGCCUGCAGUAUGCCAUCAACCUGAACCGUAAUAGGAGCCUUACAAGGACCUUUGAAAACUGCUCCUUUUAGUUGAAAUGUCCCUUUUGGAACAAUAACUCUACUUGGCGUUGUUGCUGCACAAGCAUCUUUCCAAGCAUUUGCCAAAGGCUAUGUACAAAGAAAAAGAAAAAUGAAAUCAACCAUUCUAUUUUGAAGUAUUUGUACGAUUAUAAUAUGUAUAGUUUACCUGACUAAUAUCAGUAUUAGGCUUCCCACCAUAUUUCGGACUUGUCACAUCAAAGUCACCAGGAGCUAAAAACUGUGCGACUCUACUUGCAUAUGCUGAGGAUGAUAACAAAAAUACCGAAAAGAUAAUCAAGACUAGAUUGUGUCCUCCCAUCUUGAUGCUUUCACUUCAAGUUUUUCGUUUAGAAUGAUGAUGAAACUCCACUAUAGUGUUGAGGUCAUUUAUAGUCUGGUUGGAAAGGUUAACACCAAACAUCUUACCACAAAUGCAUAUUACUUGCUAUUUUAGUACUAGUAGAAGAAGUCGCAAUGUUGGAAUUGGUAAUCACCAAAUUAGUAGCGCUCGAGAGCUAAGCAGUUUAUAGUGUGAUUUGUAGGCUUCACGGCACUAAGACAUCCUGCAACGAAUCUGUUUUUGUUAUUUACAAUGAUGGAAUUGGUAGUCACCGAUAGAGUAGCGGUAAUUGUUUGAUUAUAAAUCUACAAAUCUUUAAACCAUUUAAUUCAUCUAGUUAAAAAAACAUAACUUGUUUCAAUCAUAAUUUUCAAAUUUUCUCUUAUAUUUGCACAUCCCUACUUCUUCAUAAUUCCACUACUUCCUAAUUGGUAGCCUAUAACAUAUUUCAUUUGUGGGAUGUAGAUUAUUCUGUGAUAGCUAGCUCGGGUAAAGAUAGUAUCACCAAAAUCCAUCAUAUUUGAAUGUUUCCCUCAUCGGAGUCCCAAAACCAUUAUUGCUCUUCAAGCGGUAGUAUCACCGAAAUUCUCAUAGACCAAUAUUUGCCCUUCAUCAUCAUAUAUCUAUAAUUACCAUGGCGGACCUAGGAUUUUAGGUUCGGGUUGGCUGAAAUUUUUUUCUUAAAGUUCUUUUUAAUUUUUUUUUCUUCUAUAUUUUACAUAUCACAUUUUAGAUUAAAAACAUAUCAAAUAAUCACGUAGUUAACUGAUCAUUAAGAAAUCAAUAUUAUAACAUUUUAUAGAAAUUCAAUAACAAAAGUUAAAAAUAAAAGAACAUAUCUACUCAAAUUGAACCCUACGCUCUUGAAUAAAAGCAAAAUCUAAUAACUAAGCACACAAUCACCGCUCUAACGAUACAGUAAACGAGUGUAUAAUCCUAAAACCUAACAGGACGGAAAAACACAAUCUAAUAACUAUGAAUCAAACGUUGGUACUAUUACAACUAUAUAUCAUAUACACACAUCAUUAGCAUUAGUUAUCUACAAUUGAGAUUAGAAUUAGACUAUCAAUAGAAAUACAAUGUGAUGGGAUGAUGGGAUGAUGAGAUAUUGAGACUAUCAAGGCAUUAAUCAAUUGAGAUUUGAGAUGAUGGGAUAUUGAGACUAAAUUUGAUCAAGGCAUUAAUCAAUUGAGAUUUGAAAACUAGGUCAUAUGACACGUACAAGACUCUAAGAGGAUGACCGAUAUAACUACGAAUCAUACCUGCAAAUUAAAGAGAGAAAGCUUGGCACUUGGCUUAGAAUUAGUAAGCAAGCAAUUGAGAUUAGAAUUAGAAUAUCAAUAGAAAUACAGUGCGAUGAGAUGAUAGGAUAUUGAGACUAUCAAGACAUUAAUCAAUUGAGAUUUGAGAUGAUGGGAUAUUGAGACUAAAUUUGAUCAAGGCAUUAAUCAAUUGAGAUUUAAGAACUAGGUCAUAUGACAUGUAUAAAACCCUCCAAAAGGAUGACCGAUAUAAUUAAGAAUCAUACUUGUAGAUUAAAGAGAGAAAACUUGGCACUUGGCUUAGCUGCUUCGGCAGAAGAGAAUGGAGACGUAUACAACGACAAAGAAAAAGAAAUAAAGAAAAGAAAGUUGACCUAAAAUAUACUAAAGGAACAAUUGCUUUUAAUAAAAUAAACAAUAUAUAUGUAAUCAGAUAAAAAAAAUCAUAUGGACUAAUUAAGUUCAAUUACAUAAAGAAAUUUGGGGUGGGCUGGUUUUCAUAAUUUAACUUUUUUUAAUUAUAAAUAUGCAACAAAGCAAUGUUUUCUUAAAAUCUGGGAUGGAUUGUAGCCCACCGUAGCCCGUGUGUAAGUAUAUUUUUACAGUAAUGUUUGUAGAACAUCAAAAAUCAAUUUGGAUCAAUUUUAGUUAUCGGACUUCUUAGCCGGUAGCACAAGCAAGAGGCCGGUUUUGCCGCAUUAGUAAUUGAGGGCUUGACAUUACUAGUACAUUGAGACGUGAGUGCACCUUUGCCUCCGGUUUAUUUCAUAUCAAUGUCACUCAUUUCCACGCCCUCACAUGGUACGCCCUUGCUGCAUACAAGCUGUUCAGGGCGAAAAUAAAUUUCCUUUGAACAAUCGGCUUUGGUGAUGGCGUGUCAGCACUUUUGAGUUGGUGCAAUUGUCUUGAUCUUGAACGUUCACGCGUCUCUCUUGAUUUCUCUUUAAACAAUUAUGAGCAGGUUCGGUCAAUCCAAAAAGAUCUAAGGAAAUCCCUAGGAUUUACUUCAAUAACAAAAUGAAGGAUAUUUGCUAGAGAAGGAAUCUCUAACAAUGGUAGCAGACUUGUGCUCGUGAUUGAGGCUUUAUGGAUCGGGGCGGUCUUUACCGACUAGCGGGUUUUUAGUGAGUGAAGCGAGAUUUGUCGACAGGCGGGCUUUUGGUGGUGCUCCUAGAAAGGCUUUUUAGGGUAGAUUGGUGCUCUUGGAGAGGUGUCCAAUUUGCAAGAUGCAAAGAUUUGUUGAUUGCUUGUCCUUUUCCUCAUUCGCUAAGAACUCCUUACAUAGAAAAUAGGUUCGCGAAUGACUUGCAUACCAAGACAAUCUGAUCUCUAAACAAAUUAGGAGAGUAUCUCUCCUAAUUAAUCAAAUCACAUAACCGAAUCCUAAGAUAUCCUGAAAUAUUUUGUCAGUAAUUACCCAAUAGGACAUAAAGAUAUUUACAUAUAUUUGGGCCACAGAUAUCGGCCCUUGGGCUAACUUAUUACAAGAUAACCAGAAUAUGAAUCUGGGCUCAAACACAGCUUCACAGCUGCACUUCCCCUAAUGUUCUUGAACGUGAUUUUGCUGAUCUUCACUUUUGAUUGAGCCUGAGAUUUAUGUAAUGUAAGAAAAAACAGAUUGAUUGAUAGAGCUUUUCGACAAAGCUGGAUUAAUGAAGAGCUUGGUAAUUUAAAUUGUAACGCGCACCUAAUCUUUACACUGAUUGUAUAGACAGUACGUUUGGUCUUUGAGAAUUGGAGUACUGACGUUAUUCAUGGUAAUAUCCUCAAAGUGAAUAUCUGAGGCAGUAUUGGCUCUAUCUUGGCCAUGUCUUGAAUCUCACAUCAUUGGGCAUUGGAUGUGUUAGAGAGUGUGUAGUUCUUAACAUUGACUCUCGCCACGGGUUCUUCCUUUUCAUUCCUUCCCAGACUUCCGAUGGCUAUGCCAUGUCCUGGUCCACACUUUCGGUUUGUCACCGUGAUUUGUUGUUACCAUCGCUUAUUGAAACGCAAUCAUCUCGGAUCCGGUUCCGAUGACUGCAUCAAGAAUGCUGAUCGCAGUUGACUUCUCAAUGUGGAUUUCAUCUGUAUUAAAACUCUCAGCGGGAGCCGAUAUAUACAUUUACGUGUUUGAAAGUCUCACAUUGUUUCCGCUAAAACAUGAACUUGGAAAUGUUUGCUGUUCAGAGUAGUAACUCCAUUUUAGCUCCAGGCCUUUGUAAAUAUACUUGGUUUUGAGAAAGCUUAGCAUCGUCACCAAAACAUUUUUGAUCAUAUAUCACAACUUUGUGAGUCGAACUCACAACCUCCUACUUACUAAGGAGAGACUAUGUCGCUAGACCAAAUGGUACUGGGUCAUAAAGAUUGAGUUAGUCUCUAGCUUUAAGAAAUUAUUUUGUUACUCGUUUGUGUGAAUAAUUUUUUUUUUUUUAAAUCAAAGACUUAGCACUCAUACGUAAAGUUAAGCGCACGAGUAUUUACUGUAUGCUACAUAUAUACUUACCACAUGUAGUAACUUUUUAUUUUAAGAAAUUAGUUACUACCAUAAAUUUCGAAUAUACACUAAGAGGGGUGUAUUGUAUAUGGAAUUAGUGGAAGUUUUAAAGAAGUCUAUGGAAUUUGAAAGUCUAGGUGUAUUCAAUACAGAUUUUUAAAAGUCCAUCAAAGUCUGGGUGUAUUCAAUUAGAUUUUAAAAAAUCAUUAUGAAUUCCACCAAAAUUCAGGGGUAUUCAAUUAAGACUUUUUAAAAUGAAUAGAAGUUUAGAUGUAUUCAAAAUAUCAUUCAUACUUAUAGAAUUAAUAACUCAUGGACAAUUGUGGACUUUGUAGUGUAAAUUACACACACCAAACUCCAAUAUUUUUCCAUCCACUAGAGCAAAGAUNNNNNNNNNNNNNNNNNNNNNNNNNNNNNNNNNNNNNNNNNNNNNNNNNNNNNNNNNNNNNNNNNNNNNNNNNNNNNNNNNNNNNNNNNNNNNNNNNNNNNNNNNNNNNNNNNNNNNNNNNNNNNNNNNNNNNNNNNNNNNNNNNNNNNNNNNNNNNNNNNNNNNNNNNNNNNNNNNNNNNNNNNNNNNNNNNNNNNNNNNNUAGAUGAACACUCAACUUAUAAUUGGUGUCAUUAUGUGUUUGUCAUUGCAUUCUUUAUUUUUUGUCAUUUCCUAUAACUCUGUAAGUAUUAAGAAAUCUACAUAAGUCAUUCAUAUGAAAUCUGUAGAUUUCAGAAAUCAGUGAAAGUCUGUGAUUAAAAAUCGAUGGUUUUAAGAAAUCAGUGAAAGUCUAUGAACUUUUUAAAGAGUCUGUAGACUUUUCAAAAAGUCAAUUGAUUAAAAUAAGUCUGUAUGAAUUCAAAUGCAAUACACCCCCUAAUAUGAUUGAAGAGUAAUUAUUCUGUAGGACCAUUUAAUAAUUUUCCUAUGGGAGUAUCGAACCGAGAUACGGUAUCUAUAUGCAUGCUUAAUUUAUUCGCUAUGAAGUGCGAUUUCCAGAAAUAUAUGGGUGGUAUAAUUGUGACAUCAAACGGGAAAGAAAAAGAUUUUAAGACAAGAUUCGAUCUAUAAUAAAAAUCCCUGAUUUAAAGACAAUUCUUUCUGCGUUCAUAAGGUUUACCUAGCCCUGUAGUACAUCGUCACUAUCUUAAAAAAGAAAACCCUAAUCCUAGCUAACACAUGAGAGAAGCAGCGAUCAACAUCCCCACAGCUGCCAUGAGACCUUCCACCAACACCAAGGACUCCACCAGCUCACCAACUUGCUUAAAACUUCUUUUAUACCUGCUGAUAUGCAUGACAAUCGUGCUUUUCAUACUGGUUCCAAUAGUAUAUACGAAUUUGCCUGAUCAAACCCUAGAGUUUCAGAUCAACUCUCUUUCAGUCUCUCCCUUUCUAGUCUACUCCUCCUCCAUCACUGCCAAUUGGAACAUCACCUUACUUGCUAGAAAUCCUUAUAAGGACAAAAUCGUCUACUAUGACGCCAUUGAAGUUUCGGUUUUCUAUCACAAGCUGUUUCUAACUUCGUCGCAUAUAGCUAUGAAUGGAUCCUUGUAUCAAAGUCCCAAGAAUGAGUCAAUGCUGCAGGUGAACCUUGCAAUCUCAUCAGUGUAUAUGGGCAAUUGGAUGGAGGCGGCGGCCAUGCUGGAGGAGUGGAGGAACAGAGGUGUAGGGUUUGGUGUUAGAGCAGAGGCUAUUGUCAGGUUAGGCGACAGCGAAAAGAAUUUAAAGAGGAAGCUGGUAAGGGCCAACUGUGAUUAUUUGAAGGUUGAGAUCUCACCGAAUCAAACGGCGGGAGUCUUGUUGGGUGGAUCAAGAAACUGUGAUGUCAAAGAAGUGUACUAGUAACUAGCUAGUAAGUAUAUUUCCAUUAUACAACGGUUAUCUUCCAUUGUCUGCAGUCUGCAUUGAUAAACCUCCCUAAGGGUGGCAGCAGGAACUGCUGGACUCUGGAGUCUAGAGAUGGGAUUGUUAUAUUCCAUUUGGAGUGAUUCUUUAUCUCUUUCGCUGUUGCAUAAAGUUUGUUGAGUUACUAUUGGACUGCCUCACCGCCACGUGAUAGGAAAAGCCCUACCUAAGAAUUUUCCUUCGAUUAAACAACUAAUGUCCUUUUCGGUUUGCCAAUUUAAUUUGCCAAUUUAAGCUUAUUUCCUAAUAUUUGAUGAGCAAGUGAAUUCUUUGGCGGAGAGAAUUCCAAGUCUUUCUUGAUCUCAAGGGCAAACUUCUUGAUGCAUGUUCGCUUGUUACAAAGUACUUGCCGAUUAAACUAACUUUAGUUAUCAACCACUGUAAGGUAGUCUAGUAGUUCUUACCUAGUUGGGUGUGCUUCCCAACCUAGGUUCGAAUCACAACACUGUCAAAAGUGGCUAGAGGAGGGGGGCUGCAAUGCCCUGCUAGCUGUUCGGGCCCCUAACGAAUUAGUCAUUGGGCCUAAGAAAUCUUUGGGAUACCGUGAUCUUGAAUAAAAAAACUAAUUUAGUAACCUCCUCAUCUUUAAGAAACGGUUAAACAUGAAAUGCAAGCACCAUAUAUCUAGAACAAACUAGCUAGUACUCCACCCCCUGCUCUUUCUUCUGUACUUUUCCCAUUUAAACACAUAAAAUCCCAAUUUAAGAAAUUAAGCAAUAUAAAUACUACGUACAGAUGCAUAUAGAAGAGUACAUGUAGUUGAUUUUCACCACCCACCAUCAAGAAUAAACCAUGGCGGGGCGCCUGCAAAAUUAUUAUCGAUCAUCUAAAACUUUGUUCCUAUAGCUUAAACUGUCUUUCGCUUUAAGGGUAAUCGAUCACGCUAAUCAUCUCAAUUCAUCGAUACUCAGUUAUCACCUUACUUAAGCAACGUUCUUUGCACAAACUUGUGGAUGAUUAAAUCCUGACACGGUAGGCUUCACGUUGGCACAUUCAGAUAUGGCAGUUCCAUUUUUGUUCCCAUUAUAUGUUAAGUUGAUGUCAGCAACUUGCACAUUCUGGCACGGUAUCCCUCUGCUGCAAACGAGCUUCACAGCCACAAGGUCUUGAGUUGUGCCCCUAAUGUUCUUGAAGCUCACAUUGCUGAUCUUGACUUUAGACGGUAACUUUGCUUGGCAUUGACCAUAUGGGCAAUAUUCUUGGUCUACAAGUACAGGGUUGGUUUUGACGUUGUCCAUAGAAAUGUCCUCGAAAUGCAAAUCUGAGGCCACACCAUUAGGAGAAGCUGGCCAAGUUUUAAUCCUAACCCCAUUUGUGGUAUUCGAAAUCUGGCAGUAUCUGACAGUGACUCCCUGAACAGGUUGCUCGUCGUGAUAUCUGUAGACAUUGAAAGUUUAGUGACACAUAAUUCACUAACAAACCCGAAAAGUAACAUAAUUGUUUUCUAUUUCAGUCAGCACGUACCUUCCCAGGCUACCAAUACUGAUGCCAUGGCCAGAGCCGCAAGUCACCUUCUCGACAUUUAUGUUCUGGCUUCCAUCACCUAGAGAGACACAAUCAUCCCCAGUCUUGAUGUUUGCAUCGGUAACAUUGAUAUAUGAUGAGCGACCAAUGUGGAUUCCAUCUGUGUUUAGGCUUUCUUGAGGUGCAUCGAUGGUGAUACGUUGAAGGGUCAGGUGUUUGGAGUUGAUGACGUUUAUGUGAAACAGCUUGCUGUUCAACGAUGUUUUGUCUUGAAUGUGUGAAUUGGUAACCCCAGUAAUUCGUAUAUUCUGUACGUGUACACAAAGCAACAGGAAGUAUGUAACUAUGUAUGUUAGUAUAUUACUUUUGUAGAAAUACAUAAGCUUCAAAAUGGCUACGUGAGACUUACGAUAGGAAGUGAAUUGCACUUUCCAGUUUUGGCAAAAUCGUUUCUGGACCAAGCUAAUUUUCCUUGGCCGUCGAAAACUCACCCUCCGAACACAGAUAAGUUGUCGACAUUUUGGAAAACCACCCAUCCAUCCUGGGAUUUGAGCUUCUCAGGUUCAGCUGGAGCCACUAGGGUUCCUGCAACCUUGAUGCUGAUGGGUGCCUUGCAGGGUCCUCCAAACCUGACGGGACCAACCAAAUAGUUUCUCUUCUCUAUCACAACCGUGCUUUGACUCGUGGCUGUGCAUGCGUCUGUCCAUGCUUUAUUGAUGGCCUGAUAUCAGAAAUUCAGAAAUUCAGAAUACAUAUGUUAUGUUGUUGUCAGAUUGUUAAUGCGUCACUAUAUUAUCAGUAUAAGAUAAGAAUUAAAGCAAGCAUGCACGUAAGUUUCGAAAGAGUAGAAUAAAUUAUUACCUGGCUAUCAUCUGUCUUGCCAUCUGCCUUGGCUCCAUAUUUCCUGACAUCAAAAUCUGCAGCAUUGGCUGUUAAGGAGAACGCUACCAAGAACAGAAAACACGUUCCAAGGAAAGAUUUUGAACCCAUUUCAGACUUCUUCUACGUUACAAAUUCUAGUGUGAGAUUUGUUCAAUGGAUGUUUUAAACUUGAGGUUCAUUUUAUACUAAGAAAGGAGCUGUAUACCACAAAAACCUAUAACCCAAUUUUAAGUGAACUAUCUAAGGUCCCUGUGGUUUGGUGCUGAUGGUUCUUAUCUGUCUCUGAUUGGAGUCAAAUUACCCUGCGAUUUUAGGCAUUUGUGCUACGUGGUCACAAAAAUUACCUUCCAACCAUUCACAUGUACAAGAAAGUACGUGUUGGAUGUUUGUGUUGUAAGAAAUUACGUGUUUGAAUUAAGCUUAUUGACCUUCAACACCAACACCUAUUUAUUUACAUGUCAUGAUUACAUUUAGUAUGAAUGCAUUGUAGAAAACUUUACAUUAACACGCAAAAUGGAUAUUUUGGAAACUGGAUACUACGAUUAGAGUACUCAAAAGGGUUUUGACAUUUUAAAACAAUGUUAGGUUACCGACCAAAGAAAACAAAUACGAGGUUGGGAAUUAAACUCGUUUUUUCAUCAUAUCGUCGCAGACCAAAACAAUAUCACGUUGGUCAAAGAUCUGAAAUGAGAGCUAAGAAGUAUGAAGAUUCAAAACUGUUUAAUGGAACUAUCCAAGUAUAUACAAAUACAAGAGUGCAGCCUAUAGGCCUUCUGAAGUGAGACCAAAUCUUCCAAGCUCUCUCAAAAUCAAGCUCUAAUGCAAUGAUAAUCCCUAUCUGUAUACAAUGUUGCUAUGUUAUAGAAACCUACAAAUGUAAUAAACUGCCGUUACUUUCAAAAUGAUGUUCUGCUUUCAAUGGCUGACUUGAUUCUACUGACAAAAUCGUCAAUCGACAUGGUCCCUGGAUCGUCACCAGACCUGGAUCUUACUGUAACAGUUCCAGAUUCAACUUCCUUGGCACCAACAACAGCCAUUAGUGGAAUUUUGAGCAUCUCUGAAUUCCUGAUCAACUUUGGCAGUCGUUCGCCAUGGCAAAGUUCACCCCGAAUACCACUUACUUUCAGUUUGUUGGUUAGCUCUUUGCAGUAAUCCAGCUGCACAGAAAUUUGAAAUUUUUGCUAUAGUGAAAACACAAUUGUCUUAUUUGCCUCGAUUCCAAAACAAUUAAAAUUAGAGGGGGAAAAAAAGAUAAGAAUGGUUCUCUUUCUAAAAAAAUGCAAAAAGGCCCAUGCAAUGCACAUAUUCAUAGUCUUAGCAGGAUCCAUCAUUUCAGUGUUGGGAAUCUAAACAAUCUUAUAUUGAACAAGAAGAGGAGUUUAGAAGUCAUAGCAUGGAAAAUCCUCGCUCGUGUAAUGGAUUCUAAAGAUAGAUGGAAACUGAGCCAUCAACAAUUCAAUAUUUCAUGAGACACUCAAUUCCUUAUAGAGUGGAAACCUUCUUGAUUUUUGUAAAUAUCAAAUAUGAAACUGCGCUGGAUACCUGAGUGUCUGUCACUGGUAAAACAUGAGCUUGCACUGGAGACAGCCAUAAUGGAAAAUCCCCAGCAUAAUGCUCUAUAAGGACUCCAAAGAACCGCUCCAAGGACCCAAGAACAGCUCUAUGAAUCAUGAUAGGCCGCUUCUUUUCUGAAUUUGAGUCAAUAUAUGUUAUGUCAAAUCGCUGUGGUAGGUUAAAAUCAACCUGCACAAUUGGUAGAAAACAUAUUUAGAGGGAUGGUGGGAGGGAGACAGAUCAAAACAAAGAUUAUUAACAAUAUCUUUAACGUUCAGGACUUGCCUGUAUAGUUGAGCACUGCCACUUCCUUCCAAGAGCGUCUUCAAUCUUAAGAUCAAUUUUCGGGCCAUAAAAAGCACCACCACCAUCAUCAAUUUGAUAGCUCCAACCCUUAUCCUCCAAGGCAUCUCUAAGGGCAGAUGUUGCUUUCUCCCAUAUAUCAUCGUCUCCAACAGAUUUCUCCGGCCUCGUGGAUAGAUUAACUUCAUAUUUGCUGAAGCCAAAUUUCAAUAAUAACUCUUCCGUAAGAUCUAAGACACCCCUGAUUUCAUCUUUGAUCUGGUCUUCUAGGCAAAAUAUGUGAGCAUCAUCCUGCAAAAAGAUCAUGAGGUUAAUAGAGAAGACUUCACAGCUCCCGCAGAACAGAGUAUGAGAUGUUAAGAAACUCAGUCAUCAAGAUUAGCAAUGAACAUCAAUUGCACUAAGCAACACCCAUAAACCCAUUUGUAAAAUUGACAAAGAGUAACUCCUUCAAUAUUAACGGAUUUCAGUCUCUCUAAUAAAAAAAGAUUGAAUAAUUUAAAACAAUAAUUUGUAACACUCGGAAGUAUAUUUAACUUGUUUUUUU